GACGAAUCAAAAUGAAAAGUCUUAUCGAGAGCUGCCAGCAGUGUUCUAUAAUGUAGAAGAUGAAAGGACGAGGCAGUGUGUGUGUGUAUUCCUUCGGUUUCACUCACCACUAUGCUAUCUAAAGCUUUCACACAGAAAGACGUGAAGAAUGUAGAGGAUAAACUACUGUACCUCUUCUCCAAACGUUCUGUGAUCCAUUACACAUGGAACAAAAUAUGUCUGCAUUUCAGCAAAGUAUGCCAGUGAACUGGUUAAAGCUCUGGGCCAGGUUGGUGAUCCUCCUCGUGGCUCGGCUCGGUAGAGGUCACGGUGCCGUUAGGUUGUGACGGCCUCUUCCUCUUCAUCUAUGCCAUAAAUUUUAUUUACACAACAGCCUGGACCGAGACCACCAGAGAAUCUCCUGAGAGCAGAUAUAAUUUGGGUGGUGGACUGUUUUUUUAACAGUGUAACAGGAAGUGCAUUGAAACUUGCUAGAUUUGUUUUGUGAAGCUUUGAUGAGAUGCAGUCUCUUAUAGUAUAUUAUCUGUGUACAUGGUCUAAAAUAAUGUUAAACUUUUAUAUACAGUCCCAUGACCUGGGAGUCAUUGUUUAUGCUAGUCAUAGCUGGUAAAGUAGGCUUUGAUGGUGUUAAGGAAAUUAGUAAAUAUUUGGUAAACAUUUUGAAAUCUUUUCUUAUCAAUGCCAGCAUUACACUUGACAUAAGGUUGUUAGCUUCUCUUAGCUUCUUAGCACUGUGAUAAAGCUCAAAAGCUAAACAAAUUCUUUUUCUUAAAUCAUGUUUGCUUUUAUUUUCAAUUCUAUAUUUUUUUUGCAUUCUGACAAACUGUGCUAUUCAAGUCAAGCCUAACUAGCAUGUGUAACUGCUAGGUGACUGUGCAUUACAUUAGCUAGAUAAUUUGUAUCACUGCACCAUGAGCUGUAUUUUCUGAGUUUUAGAAAUGUUAUGGUUAGACAGUUCGAGAUGAAGCACCCAGCAUGACCUCUGACCUGUGAU